rnacentral:snRNA from 1 species
AGAGUUUAGAUUUUAUGAUUAA